UACGUAGGGUGCAAGCGUUAAUCGGAAUUACUGGGCGUAAAGCGUGCGCAGGCGGUUCGCUAAGACCGAUGUGAAAUCCCCGGGCUUAACCUGGGAACUGCAUUGGUGACUGGCAGGCUUUGAGUGUGGCAGAGGGAGGUAGAAUUCCACGUGUAGCAGUGAAAUGCGUAGAGAUGUGGAGGAAUACCGAUGGCGAAGGCAGCCUCCUGGGCCAACACUGACGCUCAUGCACGAAAGCGUGGGGAGCAAACAGG
rnacentral:rRNA from 1 species